UCCAUCCAAUCCUGAACAUCGAAAUUCCCUAUUUACCCUCCUCGCCCUAUCAAAUUUCCCUCAUCGCCCGAAUUUUCCAUGGCUUGACCCGGAAAUCCGACUCAAAUGGACUCUCUGCAAAGUCUCCCUCCACUAUCGACUCUGUCCACCUCAGUUUCCUCCGCCCUCAACGCUAAACUCGGCACCAACCAUGAUCUAACCCAAGCACCAAGUAUCGUCGCCGAGUUUCUGACUCAGUGCGAUGAUCUGGAACGAAAUCUAGUCCACCUCAACCGCACCCUCGAGUCAAACCUCGCAUCUUACGCUUCCUUCUCUAAUCGCAUCGGCCACCUCUUCGGCAUUGUAAAUUCGAAAUUGACCGAUCUAGGAUCCUCCGUUUGCCUUCGGUCCUCCGUUUCAGGUUCGCAUCAAUGCAAAGUUUCGAUUUUGAUAUUUAUUUUCUCUUCUUCUUCUUCUUCUUCUUUUGUUUUUGAGUUUGUGCAUGAAGAGGACUGGUUUUAUCUUAUUCUUUUUCUAUGCGGAAACUUCUGUGUUAUAGACGGAGAAGGUUUGGGAGAGGAGUUGCCGUCGUUGGCCAAGGAGGUGGCCAGAGUGGAAGCGGUCCGAGCAUAUGCAGGUGAGAGUUCUAAAAUGUCAGAUUAUUGGAAUUCUAAAAUUCUUAUUAAAUUUAAGCAAAAGCACUUAAUUUUUGUUUAGAUAGUUAAGCAGAAUUAUUCUUUAUAGUGUUCAGUUGUUGUGUUUUAAUUUGCAAAGAAAUGUGUUUUUUUGUUAUUUGACGGUUUAAGGGUCCGUUUGUUUGCUAGGAAAAUAUUUUCCUGAGUGUUUGGAAGCUUGAAAAUAUUUUAUAUUUGAAAAAUGUUUUAAAAGACACGGGUAAAAUGAAUGGGUUUUAGGCUCCAUUUGAUUGUUAGUAAAAUUAUUUUUGGAAAAUGAUUUUUGGUAUUUGGAUGAAUUUAUAUAUAUUAUUAAAUUUAUAUUUUAAAUUGUUUUUACAUAUAUUGCAAUGAUUUAUUUAUAAAUAAAUAAAUCAAAUUAAAUAUAUAAUAAUACUAAAUUAUUAAGCUAAAAUAUUAACCGUCAUAAAUUGAAAACAACCAAAGUCAAAUAAAUUAUUUGUAAUUGUGUUAUAAAAAAUAAAAAAAAACAAGGAUUGAAUAAUUAUAAAUUAGUUUCCAAAUCACAAUUAAUACUAGAAAUUAAUAAUAUUAUCCAAAUGCAUAAUUAGUAGUACACCACAUAAUAACAACAACAGUGUCCAAAAUAUUACUCCACAUUAAAAAAAGUAUCAAUAUCUUCAGCAUUGAGAAAAUUUUUGAAGCCAAAUCUUUUUAUGCUUCUUACUUUUAACUAAAAAAGCUUUGGGCUCGCAUUUAUGACUCACUAGAUAAUCAAACACAGAACACAGGAAGUCAUCAUCAAAUCCUUCUUCCUUCAUUGACAUCACUUCUUCGUAAAGAUGUGGUGUCUUAUCCGCAGUAUAUUGUUCCAAAGUAUUAGCAAUUUUGCCAAGUUGUUCACACACAAAUUUAAUUUGUUCAUCAACGACACUUUCUUGAACAUUUUUUUUUACGUUUGGAUGUGCCAGAUGAAGAUACUUUUGUUCUUACCUCUUUAGUCUCUUCAUUGUCGCAGUCUAUAGGCACUGAAUCUUGAAUACCAUCAUCCAAAUCUAUGUCAGCAAAUGUUCUGGCAAAACUCCCUGUUGCCAUAUCUUUUCCAACAACCAAAGCCAUUUCAUCAUAAUGAUCAAUGCUUUUAUUAAAAAAUGGUUCAUACUUCUUGUGUGACUGUUGGAUAUUAUACAUAAUUAGAAUAACAAGUAAAAAACAAUUGAAAUAUACUUAACAUAUAUAUACAUAUAUUACCAUCACUGCUGCAUCAUAUGUUGUUCUAUCACAUGUGAUCAUUUUCAUGUUAUCAUCCCAUCCAAAACCACUUUCACCCCGAAUUGUGCAUAUAAUCUGCCACUGGUUCUUUACAGUCCUCAAAUGAUUUUCCACAUGCUGCGCAUCGCAUUGGACUUGAAAUCUUUUAGAAAUAGCUUCGGCAACUCGAUUAAUAGAAACUACUUUGAAAGUAUUAGAAGGUUUAUUUCCUCUUUGGGCCUCAUAUGCUAGAAUUUCAAGAAAAAGAUGUUCUAUCGACUUUGUCCACCUGAAUUGCUUGGAUGUCCCUUCUUUGUUGCCCUUACCCAUUCUAUAUUAAUAAUUGUCAUUGUCAAUUAUUUCAAUAUCCAACAAGCUUAAAACAUAAUAAAUUUAAUAUUUAACAAGCUUAAAACAUAAUAAAUUCAAUAUCAAAUAAGCUUAAAACAUAAUCAAUAUCUAUCAAAUUCAAGAUAUAAUAAUUUCAAAAGCCAACAAACUAAAAUUUCAAUAUCAUUAUCCAACCAACAUUAACAAAAAAAAAACAAUUUUAAUACUAAAACAUACAUAACAUAGAAACAAUAACCCUAUGCCCUAAACCUACCUAAUAUUUCUAACCAUAUAAUUAGUCCACAUAGAUUGUGUAAUUUCAUCUCUCUUAGCAGACCAUUCUCUUGUUUCUCUUGUUUCUUCUCUUUCUUCUAGCUCCGUAAGAGUUGGUAUUAUCAAAUCAAACUCAGGCUCUUCGUAUAAUCCUUGAGUUGAUCCUAGUGAUUUACUUAAUCAAGGAUUAUACGAGGAGCCUGAGUCUGAUUUGAUAAUACCAACUCUUACGGAGUGAGAAAAAAGAGAAGAAACAAGAGAAUGGUCUGCUAAGAGAGACGAAAUUACACAAUCUAUGUUGACUAAUUAUAUGGCUAGAAAUAUUAGGUAGGUUUAGGGCUUAGGGUUAUUGUUUCUAUGUUAUGUAUGUUUUAAUAUUAAAAUUGUUUUUUUUGUUAAUGUUGGUUGGAUAAUGAUAUUGAAAUUUUAGUUUGUUGGCUUUUGAAAUUAUUAUGUCUUGAAUUUGAUAGAUAUUGAUUAUAUUUUAAGCUUGUUAGAUAUUGAAUUUAUUAUGUUUUAAGCUUGUUGAAUAUUGAAUUUAUUAUAUUUUAAGCUUGUUGGAUAUUGAAAUGAUUGACAAUGACAAUUAUUAAUAUAGAAUGGGUAAGGGCAACAAAGAAGGGACCUCCAAGCAAUUCAAGUGGACAAAGUCGAUAUAACAUCUUUUUCUUGAAAUUCUAGCAUAUGAGGCCCAAAAAGGAAAUAAACAUUUUAAUACUUUCAAAGAAGUUUCUAUUAAUUGAGUUGCUGAAGCUAUUUCUAAAAUAUUUCAAGUCCAAUGUGAUACGAAGCAUGUGGAAAAUCAUUUGAGGACUGUAAAAAAACAGUGGCAGAUUAUAUUUACAAUUCGGGGUGAAAGUGGUUUUGAAUGGGAUGAUAACAUGAAAAUGAUCACAUGUGAUAGAGCGACAUAUGAUGUAGCAGUGAUGGUAAUAUAUGUAUAUAUAUGUUAAGUAUAUUUCAAUUAUUUUUUACUUGUUAUUCUAAUUGUGUAUAAUAUCCAACAGUCACACAAGAAGUAUGAACCAUUUUUGAAUAAAAGCAUUGAUCAUUAUGAUGAAAUGACUUUGGUUGUUGGAAAAGAUAUGGCAACAUGGAGUUUUGCCAGAUCAUUUGCUGACAUAGAUUUGGAUGAUGGUAACCAAGAUUCAGUGCCUAUAGACUGCGACAAUGAAUAAACUGAAGAGGUAAGAACAAAAGUAUCUUCAUCUGGCACAUCCAAACGUAAAAGAAAAAAUGUUCAAGAAAGUGUCGUUCAUGAACAAAUUAAAUUUGUGGGUAAACAACUUGGCAAAAUUGCUAAUGCUUUGGAACAAUUUACUACGGAUAAGACACCACAUCUUUACGAAGAAGUGAUGUCGAUGGAGGAAGAAGAAUUUGAUAAUGACUUCCUGUUUUCUGUGUUUGAUUAUCUAGUGAAUCAUGAAUGCGAGCCCAAAGCUUUUUUAGUUAAAAGUAAGAAGCGUAAAAAGAUUUGGCUUCAAAAAUUUUCUCAAGGUUGAAGAUACUGAUACUUUUUUUAAUAUGGAGUAAUAUUAGUUAUGCACUUGGGCAAUGUUGUUGUUAUUAUGUGGUGUACUACUAAUUAUGCAUUUGGAUAAUAUUAUUAAUUUCUAGUAUUAAUUGUGGUUUAGAAACUAAUUUAUAAGUAUUCAAUCCGUGUUUUUUUUUAUUUUUUUAUAACACAAUUACAAAUAAUUUUUUUGACUUUGGUUGUUUUCAAUUUAUGACGGUUAAUAUUCUAGUUUAAUAAUUGAGUAUUAUUAUAUAUUUAAUUUUAUUUAUAAAUAAAUCAUUACAAUAUAUGUAAAAAUAAUUUAAAAUAUAAAUUUAGUAAUAUAUGUAAAAGCAGCUUUUCCGAAAAAUAUUUUCAGGAAAUCUGCCAAACAACAGAAAAUAUUUUACACAGAUUCAUCCAAACACCAGAAAAAAAAUCAUUUCCAGAAAAGUAAAACAUUUUCCAAAAAUCAUUUUCCAGAAAAUAUUUUACUGGAAAACAAACGGAGCCUAAAACCCAUUCAUUUUACUCGUGUCUUGGAAAACAUUUUCCAAAUGUAAAAUGUUUUCAAGCUUCCAAACACCGUAAAACUAGGAAAAUAUUUUCCUGGCAAACAAACAGACCCUUAAUUUCAACCAUAGAAUAACAAAAAAUACCUUUCUUUGCAUAUUGAAACAUAACAACUGAAAUACCAGAACACUAUAAAGAAUAAUUCUUCUUGACUAACUAAACAAAAAUUAAGUGCUUUUGUUUAACUUUAAUAAGAAUUGUAGAAUUCCUAUAAUCUAUGACAUUUUAGAACUCUCACCUGCAUAUGCUCAGACCGCUUCCACUCUGGCCACCUCCUUAGCCAACAACGGCAACUCCUCUCCUAACCCUUCUCCAUCUAUAACACAGAAGUUUCCGCAUAGAAAAAGAAUAAGAUAAAACCAGUGCUCUUCAUGUACAAACUCACAAACAAAAGAAGAAGAAGAAGAGAAAAUCAAUAUCAAACUCAAAAACUUUGCUCUCUCUCUUUUGCACUUUAUUUAAAAAGAUUAUUGAUAAUAGAAGGUGAGAAGUAUUCGCCCUGAGAUACCAACAAAUAUUAUUUGAAUGUUUGCAGCGCACUCAAUGGAAGAGGUCGAUGUGCUAUGUGAUCGAUUAGGAAUUUUUGUAGAUGGCGCGUUACAGUGCAUAGGAAAUGAAAAAGAGGUUAGUUUGGCUCUAAUAGUAAUUUUCUCAACUUGAUAAAAUUUUCAUUCCUCUAAUCUUUUACACAGUAGACACCCUAUCCAUAGACUAGAGCUUUUGAACUAAUCCUCUUAUCUGCAAAAUUUCUAUUCUAUUAUAUUUAAGAUAUCUAUUUAAUCUUCUAUUUUUUUCCAAACACUUUCUUUUAAAGUUUGUUUGGGUGUUUGGUGUGAGAAAAGCUAGGUUAACCUAUGAUUGGUGUGUAUGGCAACUGAAGGGCAGAUAUAGAGAAUCUUACAUAUUCAUUAUAACAACAUCUUCAAGUAACGAGGAAGAAGUGGAGAACAUGGUACAAUAUCUCUCCCUAAAUGCUAACAAGAUAUACCAAAUCUCGGGAACACAGAAGUUCAAGAUGCCAAAGCAAGAGGUGAGAAUAGCAGAUGUAUUCCAAGCGGUUGAGAAUGCAAAGAGUAGGUUUACAGUGUUCGCAUGGGGUUUGGCUGACACCACUAUUGAGGAUGUCUUCAUCAAGGUUGCUCGUGGGGCGCAGGUCGUCAAUAUAUUAUCAUGAUUCUCACAUUCUCUUCUUCUUAUUAUAUCUACGAUGUUCAUAUAUGAUAAACUCUUUCAUUCUUUUUUUUUCUUUUUGAACUAGAAGCAUUUCGUUUAUCUGCAGAUAUAGUUGUAGUGUUGUUUUUUGUUUUUGUCAUAUACGCAUUUACUUUGUAAAUGUUAAGUAUGACUCCUAUUUCAGUCAAAUUUGAGAAAUAAUCUUUUAGUUAAACUCUGUUUAUUUGUUUCAAUAAAACACUGAUUAGUUUAGAUUAUUUUAUUAUUAUUUGACAUAUGAAUUUAGGCUAUAAAUAGGCUCUUUUACAACCUUAAAAAUUACACCCAUUAGAUAUUAGAACUCAUAACACAUUUAGAGAAUUUUGUGUUUACGUUUUGAAAGUUCUUUGUUUUCGGGUUUUCGGGGUUUAGUUUUUAUCUCCAUCUUUUUGUACUCUUCGUUUCUUUUGCCAUUAUAGUAAAAUUAUCUUUGCCUGUAGUUUUUAUCUUCUUUAGAGGAGUUUUUCUACGUUAAAUUUGUGUGUUCAAUUUCUUAAUUUCUUCUGUUAUUUUUACUUGUUCCUUACUUAAUCGGGUCAAUCUCUAACAAGUAGUAUCAGAGCUAGUUCAAUUUUCAUAAAUUAGUCCAUUCAGAUAUGACAGCAACAAUGUUUGAAAUUGAGAAAUUUGAUGGUGAGACAAAUUUCAAUCUGUGGCAAGUUCGAAUGAUAGCAAUUCUAGUUCAAUCCGGUUUGAAAAAGGUUGUUACCGAAAAAAAGCGUAAGAAUCUAAAUAAAACAGAAUGAGAAGAGCUUGAUGAAAAGGCUUUGUCUGCAAUCUAGUUGUGCUUUCAAAUACGGUAUUACAGGAUGUAUUGAUGGAGAAGACCUCAUCUGCCUUGUGGAACAUGUUAGAAACUCUUUAUGUAACUAAGUCUCUGGUUAAUAGUUUAGUGUUGAAAUAACGUCUAUUUACGUUUUGAAUGAACGAAGAUGAGCUUCUUAGAGAUCACAUCAGUCAAUUCAUUACUCUUUUAAAUAAUUUAAAGAAUGUUGAAGUUCAUAUUGAUGAUGAAGAUCAAGUUAUGCUAUUAUUGUGCUUUUUACCUCAUUCAUACAAGUCUUUCAGGGAGACAUUGAUUUAUGACAGAGACAAACUCUCGUUCGAAUAUGUGAAGGGUCAUUUGUUGAGUAGAGACAAACUUGACAAUGAGCUUCAUUUGGAUAGCAAGGCAGAUAGGCAAGCUUCUGUUUUGAUAGCAUCAAAGAAAUGAGACAAAAGGUGUCGCUAUUGAAAAAAGUUAGGUAGCGUCAAAGCAGAUUGUUAUAAACUGUGAAAUAAAAGAGCUGCUGAAAGUAACGAGGAAGAUGUAACUGGUGCUAAUUUGGCCGAUGAAAGCGGUGAUGAUUUUUUGUUAGUGUCAACGAGCGAUAACUCCAAGCUCACGUCCGAAUGGAUGAUUAGGAUAUUUUCAGAUGUCAAGUAUGUACCUGAUUUACGAAAGAAUCACAUCUACUUGAGUAUUUUAGACUUGAAAGGAUGCAGAAUCAACAUCGAGUCGAGCGACAUUAAAGUAUCUCGUGAAGCUAUCAUUUCGUUAAAAGGUAAAAGAACUGGCAGUCUUUAUAUUCUAGAAGGUUCUACAAUGACUGGUGAAAUCGGACAUCCCUCGUCCGUUACAGAGUCGAAGUCAACUCGUUUGAAGCGGAGACAACUUGUUCAUGAGAGGAAAAAAUGUGUGACCGUUUCGUUGAAGAGAGUUUUUUUUUGGAUGGAGGUUUUGAAAAGUUAGGGCACUGUGUUCGUGAAAAUCAGACCCGUGUUAGUUUUGAUUUGGCAGUGUACAAGUCAAAGGUUAGAAGUCUUCCAGUUUCUAAGCACAUAUUCGACUCAAUUGAUUCCCUGCAUAGUUCAAGAUAGGCUCGUGACGAGCUUUGGCAAAGAUGGUGUUGUAGAAAUAUGAGUCAAGGUGGAGAUUUAUUAAAUAUGACUCAUAUUUCAGUCAAAUCAAAGAAAUAAUCUUAUAGUUAAACACUGUUUAUUUGUCUCAAUCAAACAUUGAUUAGUUUAGAUUAUUUUAUUAUUUUUAAUAUGAAUUUAGCCUAUAAAUAGGCUCUUUUACAACCUUAGAAAAUACACCCAUUAUAUAUUAGAACUCAUAACACAUUUAGAGAAUUUUGUGUUUACGUUUUGCGGGUUCUUUGUUUUCGGGGUUUAGUUUUUAUCAUUAUCUUUUUGUACUCUUCGUUUCUUUUGCCAUUAUAGUAAAAUUAUCUUUGUCCGUGGUUUUUUAUCCUCUUUGGAUGAGUUUUUUCACGUUAAAUUUGUGUGUUCAAUUUCUCAAUUUCUUCUGUUAUUUUUACUUAUUUCUUGCUUAAUCGGGUCAAUCUCUAACAAUAAAUGAAUUGGAUUCUCCUUUCUUAUUUAUGGAUUAUAUAAAACUAGAAUUUGUGUUACAAGAGAAUGUGUGUGAUGCUACUCUAUAAUAUAAUGUAAAGAAUGUGACAAUGUUGCUUCUAGCAAAGUGGGGUUGCAGCAAGAAGAGAUUAUGGUGGCUAAACAUCCACAAGUGAGGUCAAGUAUAAAAACUGAUGUAAAAGUAACAUAAUUUUGUGGGUUAUUUGAAUGAUAAUUUACAUUUGAUGCAUUUUAAAUUAACCAGUUAAUUGACUUAUAAUUCCCAUUAAAAAAAACCUUUCAUAUAAAAUUAGCACUUGUAGUACAUUGCUACUUAAAUUUUUUUUUUGGAUACUGGCAUAAUAUUCCCAAUGAGAAGGAGACCUCUCACCUCAACACGACCAAGUUAUUAUUAAGUGAAUAAUAGGUAAAAGAUUAAAAAAGAAAAAGAAAAAUAUGAAAAUCAAAUUGGAAGUUUUAAAAAUAUAUAAAAAUUCUGAAAAUUUUAACAAAUCAAUAUUAAAAUAAAUUAAAACUUUAGAAAAUAUAAAUAUAAUAUUUGCUUAAAACUAUAUUUCUUAAAUGGAGCUACUGUGUUUGUAAUUGAAAUUAUCUUAUUAUAAAAUUUACCUAAUUCAAGUUUAAUUUAUCUAAUUUUCUUAUUCUAAAGAUGAAUUAUAAAAUUUUGGUAUAUUAAUUUAAAAUUUGAUAAAUUUUGUAAAGUAAAUUUAUCAUUUUGGGUUAAAGGCAUUACCUAAAUUUAUCAUUUUGGGUUAAAGGCAUUACCUACGAAUUACCCAUUACAAUUAUAAUUAUUUGUGUAUGUAAUAAAUAUACAUAAAAUGAUGAUAUAAAAAUUAAAUUAAAAUAAAAAUUUUGAUACGUGUAAUUCAGUCCAUGUGUGAACAGAGAGCUGGAAUGGUAGGAAUAAUAAAUUCUUCAUAUUUGGAGAUUGGUUAGAGCAAGAUUUUUGAAGCUGACAUAAAUGAGAAAGGAAAAAAUAUAGUAAAGAAAUGAAUGUCUAUCCAAAUAAAAAGAGAGAGAAAGGGAAACUUCUUGUAAAUAUAUUAACCAAUGGUUAGACGACGUAUAUAUGGUAAUUAACCUUUGUUAUAUUUUAAAAUUCAUUUAAAAAUAAAUACAUAAAAAUCUCUUAAAUUGGUAAGUAAUCUUAAGAGGAUUCUUUCUUUUUAUUAAACACAAAGACAAAAAAGCCAGAGAAAAAAAUCCAAAUCUGAACACACCUGUAUUGCCUAUGCCAAUUCAACAGAAUGGGCCCCACCAUUUUGACCGUUUUUUCCGUCCCACGAUAUUACUCAAAAGAUUUUCAAUUUUAGAAAAUAAUAACCAAUUAUUGUUUUUAAUUUAAGAAUUUAUCAUUAUCUCAUUUAUUUAGUUUAAUUUUAAAAUAUUUUAAAAAUUAAUUAAAUAUUGAUGUGUUAUAUACGUGGUAAUCUACAUGUAUGGUAUGUAAUAAAAUUAACAAACGCUAAUUUUUCCAUCCAAUUUUAGGUGAUUUAACAAAAAAAAUACGAGUUCAUGGUUAAAAGAGACAAAAAAUUAAAUAGAGGGUUAAAAUAUAAUUUUUAUAAAGUUUGAAGUCCAAAAAUUUUUUUAUGCCUAUGCAAAACAUCAUCAUCCAUCAAAUUUAAGUUAUAAAAUGUAAAAGGCAAGUCCUUGUUUUGACUAAAUAAUUGUUAUGUUAGCUCAAUAAAAAAUGCACCUUUCUUAUUUUUUACUGAAAAUAUUACUUUGGGUAUAUAUAAAUUUUUAUGAAUUCAUGAAGUUGAAUUUUAAGGAAAGCUAAUUUAAAGUAACAUGGAUUCAUAUGAUACAUAGUAUAAAUUAUAAAUAAAUCGCUACAAAAUUAACUAUAACAAUGGAACAAUUGCAUCAACUUUAUCAAAUUAUUGAAAUUUACACCCUUACUGGUAUCAUCAUCAAAUAAACUUGACACACUAUAUCGGAAAUGCACAAAAGGCCAAGUCUCAGAUGACUUAUCCUCAUCCUCAUCAUCUCGGAUCUAUCAUCAUCACUAUGAUCUAUCAUGAUAAAGCGUUUCGAGAACAAAUCUUAAAUGAUCUGGCAACACCCUUAGAUUGACAAACUUCACAUAUGCCAGGACAUGACUGAAAAUAGAAAGAAAAAAUACAACCACAUCUGUUUUCAAAGAAAACAGAGUGGAAAAAACAAAAAUCACAAAAAAUGUAAACAAAAUAAAACUACAAAAUUGUGGACAAAACUGCGAUAAUGUGGACUGAAAUUAAAAAAAAUAGAACUACAAAAGAUAUUGAAGAAACCGUUAUCAACAACCUACGCAAAAGCCAACGUUGCCGAUGAAACAAAGAUUUAAUUUGAAAAAGUUGAGAGGCUAGGGCUUUUCUAUGGAAAGAAGUGAAAGAAGAGAGGGAAAUAUUUGCCAUUAGUUUUAAAUAGUAUGUAUUUAAAUUGACUCGAUUAAAACUUUCAUUUUUUUGGUGAAAAAUGAUAAACAGAAAUACAACGUAACAACUACUGAAAGGCUCUAGAAGCUUUGUAUUGUUAGAUAGUCGUAACCACCAAAUCAAAAGGUACUUUAAAGAUCUGAAGAGAAGUCUAACAAAAGAGACUAAUCUUUGCCAAUUGAUCUGCAAUUAAAUUACACUCCUAGGAACAUACUUGGCUUCUCGCUGACUAUCAAAGCACAAAAAAAGUUUAACUCUUCUAAGCAAGGCAAUACCGGAGUCCACUAACUCCACCAUGGAUAAGACCGUAAUCACCUCAAGGUUAUCUGUCUAAAUCAUGACUUUCUUUUAGCCAUUAUUUAAAAAAAAUGAGAAUUCCAUCAAGAAUACCCUAAAGUUCUGCCUCCAAAGGCGAACAUCUACCCAAAUAAUGAUUAAAGCACAAAAUCCAAUUGCCAACCUGAUCACGAAUCACCCCACUCACAGAUGCAUUUCUAGAAGCUCUAGCCACUGCUCCAUCAGAAAAUAAAUAGAUCCAAUUGUCUUCAUAAUGGGAGUGAAUUUCCCAAUUGGUUGAGUUAGGCUUGGCCUCAUUUAGAAAAGGUUCAAAUAGUUUGGCCUAACUGAGAGAGACUUUUACAAUUUCAUAAGUCAUCCAAUUAAUGUUUUGGAAGAUGAAAAGAUUCAUAUUCUUCCAAAUUCUCUAAGAAAUUAAUCCAAAUAAGCAUGACCAAGUAAUUCCUUUAUCUUGCAUCUUAAAAUGAAAACCAAGGUUAGUGGAAAACCAAUUUUCAAAGGAAUCAGAAAAAAACCUGGAUUGCACAAUGCCCUUAGUAUCAGAGAAUAGUCUCAGAGAACAUGCACAAUGUCCUUAGUAUCAUGACCACAUAAUGAGCACAUAUUGUUUUGCCCAAUUCCUCUCUUAGCGCGUUCUGAAUUAGUAAGAAGCCUCUAUUUUACCACAAGUCAUAGAAAAAGGUGGACUUCCUGUGGGCCUUGAUAUUUCCAAAUAGGCUUCCAAAUAUCAUCUUUAGGACUCCAAGAAUCUUCUUUUAAAACCCAGUAAGCAUUACGAACAGAAAAAGACCUGAACCAGAUCAAGCCCAAAUGAUCAUAUCCUCACUACCAGCAAAAUGAGGAGGGCGCAUACUUACUAUAUGCUUUAUCACGUCAUCAGGUAGCCAAGUAUGAAGCAAAUCAAUAUUCCAAGAACCACCAAGAAGAACCCAAUCCCUUAAAUUACUCUCCAAAUCUAGGCUUGCAUGCACUAGGACAUAAGAAAAAAGAGGACUAACUUUCGGUACCUAAGAAUCUUUCCAACCACGAAUUGUAGAGCCAUAACCUACAGACCACAUGAGAUUCUCAUAAAGAAAAGGUCACACCUUAGAAAGGGAACGCCAAAGAUGAAAGCAUUGAUUUCUGUGAAUCUAAUUUGGAAGUUGAUUCUUCCAACCAUAUAAGUUAAACCGUUAUAAGUUAAUAAAGUCAAGGAUUUUAUUUUAACUUAUUGACGUAUAUGUUAAAAUAAAACGGUUUUUUCAUAUUUAAUUAAUAAAGUACUAGUUGUUUUAUUCAAAAUAAUUAAUAGAACAGAAGAACAUUAAUCUAGAUUCCACUGUUGUGGAAGACGACAAAUGAUACAUAUAAUUAUAUCAAUUUUUUAGUAAAUUCAUUUAAUAUACUUCCACCAAAACCUUAAUUUAGUCGAAAUCCUUUUUUGUCGAUUAUGGUUUUUUUACUUGUUUUCAUAGUAUCUAAUUUGACAUGAUCAAAACCCUAAUUAAGAUCAAGAUUAUAAAGUCAACCAAGUCAAGAGGGUUUAUGUUAACUUUUUCAUGCAUAUAAGUUAAGAUAAAGGUUUUUUUUAUUCAAAUUUGAUAAAAAAGAAGUAGUGGUUUUAUUCAAUAAUUGAUAGAACAUAAGAACAUUAAUUAAGAUCCGAUCAUUGUGAAAAAUAUUUUCCUCUAAAAGUAUUGAAUAAUACCACAUUGUCUUACUCCACCAACACAAUCUAAUCUUACAGAUGUCAAACAACUAAUGAAUGUUGAGAUGUUUACCAUUAAAGUAGGGGUGAAAAUAAAAACUUUUUAUUGGAAGGCGAAGAUUGAAUUUUUUGGGGGGGAUCUUUAGCAUUUAAUUAAUUGUAAAGUUCACAAAUUUAAAGGAUUAAAAGAGAAAUUUUACCAAGCCAAAGGGGGCCAAGGACCUUGCCUGCCCCCUUGGUGCCACUCUUGUAUUAAAGACAAUCUCGUUUUGAUAAAUCCAAAUAGACUAUGAAAUAACAAAGAAAGACAUUUUCCAAAUAUGCCUAGUUCGUCGGAAAUAAAAAUUUUGUAGCCAAGUUUGAAAAAAAGAUAGUUGGAUCCUUUGGAAAAACCAAAUGAAUACUCCAAAUAGCGCAACACUUUUGCAAUAACCUCCAUGAAACAUCACACUCAAUAAACAAGUGAUCAAUCGAAUUUGUACUUGCAUGAUAGAAAGUGCAAGUCAUAAAAUUAAAGAGGAAUAGCCCCUCUUAGCUAGCUCAUAUUUUGUAGGAUGCCUACCAUAAAGUAAUCGUCAUACAAACAUUUCCACCUUAAGUUGGUCAAUCUAGACUUUGUUUCCACCAAUUAUUCUUGUAACACGAUCCGAGCUACGAAAUGCUAUAUUCGCUUUCGGAACAACCAUAAUCAAUCAGACAACACAAUCAUUUAUACAUGAAAUCAAGAGUUUAUCAUAUUCAAAAUUAUGUUAAAUGACCAAUUUUGAAUCUUAAUCGAGCUUAUGAAAGCUCUUUAAACAAUCCGAGUACGAAACAUGACCAAAUUGCAAAGUUCAGACAAGACACUAUUGACAUGCCAAUCGUAUCCUAACAUUUCCUAAGUUCACAAGGGCAUCUUUAACACAUGUAAACAUUUCUUUUCAAUUUAGUCCAAUUCUAGCCUUUUGAACCAAUUCACAACUAAACACAUAUAUAAUUACAAAUCAAAUGUACAAAAACCUAUAUAAACAAAUACCAUAUGAACUUAUCUGAUUAAAAUAACAAACAAAUUGAAUCUUCAGGGACUAAUCGACAAUUUUGUCUUUUUCUCGAUUGUCUCCGGUUUGAUCAAAUUCUUGAUCUAUACAAUUAUUCCAUUCAAUCACAUAAAAAAAAUUUACAAACACCCUCUAAUACUACGAACCUGAAGCUUCAAAAGAGACUUUUCUUGAUCAAAGUCUUCACUUUUCUUAAGGGCAUUUCCAUUCUUCUUAGUUUCACUAUUCUCCAUCAGUGUUUGCUCCUUUUUAGUACCUUUCUCGCUUCUAUUGUUGUCCACCUUGUUCACCCUUUGACCUUGGUCAAACCCCUUCUCUUGAUAUUUAAAUUUUCUCCAGAAAGACGAUCUUUGAUUAAAUCUGGCCAUUCUUGUGAAGACAUGACUUCCAAACACAACAUAUCCAUUAAGCUUGGCGAUGGCUCUACGAGCUUCCAGAAACUUGGGAAACCUUACAAAGCCAAAACAUUGUCCUCUCAUACUAUGUUUUCUUAGAAUAAAAGCAUUUAUAACAUGACCGUGAUAACCAAAAAUUUUCCAUAACCCUUUCCAAAGGAGUUUUUUUUGGUAAUCUCUCCAUGAAAAUGGUUGAACACCUUUUAGUCCCUCCACAAAACCGAAACACCAUCUCAAAAUAAUCCCAAUUGCCACAUAUAAAGUAAGGUUUUUGUUUCACAUUGGAUUAGAAAAGUACUAAUUUCUUUAAUCAAAAUAAUUAAUAGAACAUAAGAACAUCAACCAAGGUUCGAUCUUUUUUUUUUGUCGAAACUAGGAUAUCCACUGCCAAUAGUGGUGACUAAUACUUUCACCACAGGUGCUCUCCAAAGAGGUAAAUGACUGGCCAGGAAAUGUACUCUGUUCCCAUGGGCAGGGAUCAAACCCACGACCUCAUGGUCAUGGAGGAUUCGAUCGUUUUGAAAAACAACAAAAAAUAGAUACAUUAAUAUUAAUUUUUGAAGUAUAAAUUAAUUUAAUGUGAUUUGACCGAAAUCCUAAUUUAGAUCAAAAUCUUUCUUUACCGAUUAUAUUUCUUUAUUUGUUUCCAUAGUAUUGAUUUGACUCGAUCAAAGCCCUAAUUAGGAUGAACAUUAAAAGAUUAAAAUUCAAUUAAACUUAUUGACAUAUAUGUGUUAAAAUAAAAGUACUUUUAUUCACAUCCGAUCAGAAAAGUACUAGUUGAUUUAUUCAAAAUAAUUAAUAGAACAUGAGAACAUUAAUCAAGGUUCGAUCAUUCUGAAAAACAACAAAAAAUGUAUACAAUUAUUUUAAAAUUUGAAGUACAAGUUCAUUUAAUUUGAUUCGACCGAAAUCGUAAUUUAGAUGAAAUUCUUUUUUUUUGAAUUUAUUUUUUUAUUUGUCUUCAUAAUAUAGUAUGUAUUUAGUUUAACUUAAUCAAAACCCUACGUAAAAUUGACAUAAAUAUGUUAAAAUAAAAUGAGGAAGGAAUGCACAUGCUAGGGUUUUAUGGCCAAAUGGGAAAUCCUUCACCAUUCCAGCCAACAAGUAAGUGACAUAAUUCACCUCCCUUGGAAUCUGUUCAAAACCAACUCUCCAUUCAUGACUACAUAACUCCCGAAUUUUUAGAACCAAAUUUCUAUGUAAAUACCCUAUCAAACCACCAUUGAUACUUUAAUAGCAAGUGUGCAAUAUGUUUCAAUAUCUCUCCAUUUAGCAUCCCAUGCCAUAAUAAGACCGUCGUAAAUUACCCAUACCUCUGCUUACUCAACACUAUACCUGUCGAUAUUUCUACCUAUUCUACACACCCAAUUAUUGUACUCAUCUCUCGCCACUACUGCCGAGGCUAGUAAACCUGAAACUGGACUACAAGUACCAUCGAUAUUCAAUUUAAUGAAUCCGGAAGGAGGUGAAACCCACAUUCGAUUCCCAUGAUAGGAUAAUUAUUUAAAUGUAUGCUUAAAAUAUAUAGGCAACUCUAUUAAUUGUGUUUGAAAACUUAAAAAAAUACUAACCAUUACAAAUAUCAUAAAAGGAAGGUUGGUGAGAAAAAAAGGAAAGAAAAAAAAUGCAUGCAAAAACAGUUUUGAUAAUUUUAAAUACAAUAUAAUUAUAAAACAAUGUGAAAAAUUUAUAAAAAAUAUAAAUACAGAACAAAAUAUACAAAUAAUUAUAUUUUCAGUGAAGACUAAAGAGGGUCUGGAAUUUCAAACACGUGAGGAAAACAUGGUUCGUAGUUUGGUUUUCCUUUGGUUGGGAUCACAAUUCUUAAACAGCAACUCCCUUCCAUAGAAGUUGUAGGCCCUACCUUUUCCUUCCUUUUUUUUUCUUUCUUGUUAAAAAUAAUUUUAAAAAAAUUACAAUUUUAAAUAUUUUUUUUCUUUCAAUUAUAAAUUCACUUCUCUUUCACCCAUUUUUUUAUAAGCUCUCUCUCUCUCUCACUCUCUAAGUGAAUAUAAACUAUAGCUAGAGAAAGAGAGAAUUUGAAGCAAAUUGAGCUUUUGUUUUGUUAAUUUGAUCCCAUAAUAGCUAAAAGCUUCAGGCCCUUUGUUAUCCAAUUUGUAAGCCUUUUUUCCGUUUCUUUUAUGAUGGUUUGUGGAUUCAUUUUCAACUUUCUCAUUUUCAUUGUUAAAGCUUAUGGUUUCUUUUUCUUUUUGUUUUUUUAUUGAAUUUCUCUUUAAGGGCAGCAUCUACUAUAAAAUGAGAGCAAACCCUUUUUUUAUUAUUUGAAAUGUAUUGAUUUUAGUGAAAGGUAGAUCGUUUAUCUUGGUUACAUUUUGGAGCUAAAUUUAGAUUUAAUUUUCAUUGUUUAUUGUCAAAAGAUGUGGCAUGUGAUUGACUUUUGAUGAGUUUUCUUUCCUUUUCUCACGGUUUCUUAACUUUAUAUGUGUUCAUAGAAGUGAAAUAAAAAGAUAACAUCUUUUGGAUAAUUAUCAUUUCUCAUUCAUGUUCUAGAUUUUAAUUUUCAAGUUAUUUCUGCUUUGUAAAAAGCAUCAAGUUGUAAGUUUUAUCAUAUUGUUUGAUUUUUUAAUUCUUGGUUUUGAUUACUAGACUAUUCUUGUUAUGAGACUUGCUUUUGAUGAUAAGCAUUAUUUUGUAUUUUUUUUUUGUGAUAAAUUUUUUUUGGCUUUGUUUGGGUUGAUAGAAGUGUGCUAUUCCUUUUCUUCUAAAUUGAGUUUUUUUUCUUGAGAUUAGCAUGAAUAGUGUAUUUCUGCUCUCCUGUAAUUGAUUUCUGCAGGGCUUUUAUAAUAAUUUUUUGUUGCAUUUUAUGGAAUUCUAUGAUAUGUAAAUUGAUGCAUUUCCUAUAAAAAUUAGUCUCUCUCUCUCUUUAUAUAAUAUAUUUAUAUUUCAUGUAAUGACUGAUCAAUUUUACAUAUUAUUAUCAUGAAGAACAAAAAGGAAGGUUUCUGGUUCUCUCACAAAGCUAGACCUAAUAAGAAGACGGAGAAGAUCUUAUGGCGACAAGAGGUGUCAAAGUACUCAAAGGUGACGAGAAGAAGGAAAAAAGGGAGGAUAUGUGGCUUGCCCAAAUUGGCCAACGAGAAAACCACCGCUAUGCUUCGGACAAUUCAGAAUCAAGUUUACUGAUCCACCAGCUUGGGCGAGACAUCUUGAUUAACUGUCUCCUUCGUUGCUCAAGGUCUUAUUAUGGCAUCAUUGCAACUUUGAAUACGGGUUUCCACUCUCUUAUACGGAGUGGUGAGCUGUACAAGUUGAGGCGACAAAUGGGAAUUGUCGACCAUUGGGUUUACUUCUCUUGCAACCUUUUGGAGUGGGAGGCUUUUGAUCCAAUCCAUCGUCGAUGGAUGCAUAUGCCUAAAAUGUAGGCCUAUGAAUGUUUCAUGUAUUCUGAUAAGGAGUCAUUGGCUGUUGGAACCCAACUUCUGGGUUUUGGAAAAGAAAUAAUGUACCCUAUUGUCUAUAAAUAUAGCAUUUUGACGCACACAUGGACAACCGAGAUGAGGAUGCAUACACCCAGGUGCUUGUUUGCAUCUGCUAGUCUGGGUGAAAUCGGAAUUAUAGCUGGUGGUUGUGAUCUGCGUGGAAAUAUUUUGAGCUCAGCAGAGCUUUAUAAUUCUGAAACUGGCAGGUGGGAGACCAUUCCAAGAAUGAAUAAGGCUAGAAGAAUGUGUUCUGCGGUGUUCAUGGAGGGGAAGUUUUAUGUUAUUGGUGGCAUUGGGGUUGAGAGUUUGAAGACAAUAACAUCCGUAGAGGUGUAUGAUUUGAAGACCAAGACUUGGAUUGAGAUACCUAACAUGUACCCUGCACGAAACGAGGAGGCUGGACUAACAGAAGAACCUCUUACAGCUGAGGCACCUCCUCUAGUGGCAGUUGUGAAUGAUGUGUUGUAUGUAGCUGAUCAUGUACUGAAGCAAGUGAAGAAAUAUGACAAUGAGAAGAACUUGUGGGUAACGGUAGGGCCAUUCCCUGAGCGUACAACCUCAAUGAAUGGGUGGGGGAUAGCAUUUAGGGCAUGCGGGGAUCAGCUAAUGAUUAUUGGAGGACCUAGGGUUUUAGGUGCAGGGUUUGUUGAGAUCAACUCUUGGGUCCCAAAGGAAGGGCCACUAGAAUGGAACUUGGUCGCCAGAAAGCCCUCUAGCAGUUUUGUGUAUAACUGUGCCGUCAUGGGAUGUUGACAUGUGCAUCUAGUUUCGGUGGCACCCUAGUUUUGCAUAAAGUCUUUUUCUGCUACAACCCACAGACACAGUCAUAAGAGGAGGUUUGAAGAUUUCGACCCUUCUUAGUUUUAUUAUGUUUUGUAACUUUCCUUCCAUUUUCUUUGUUGUUCCUUUUGUUGAGUGGUUGCCAUCAGGGUUUGUUAAAGUUUGUGUUAUGUAGAACAAAGCAUAGUUCCAUAACAAAGUCUAAUUACAUUUUAGACUGUUUUCAAUGUUAAGGAAGUUUCUUUCGACCAAAUAUUAGUCUCAAGCAAUUAUUGAACACACACAUAUUUAUAACAGUUUACCCAUUCCAUACUCUUUUCCUCUAGGGAAAGAAAAAGAUAGAAAGGAUGUAUGAUCAUGAAAAGCUUAAUCCUUUCCUCCAAUGAGAGGGAGCAGUAGCGGGAGGGAGAAGAUGGAGAGAGAGACCGGGGGGGGAGAGAUUUUUUAUUCAUUCAAUUUUAAUAUAAUUUUUUUAAUUAAUUUUUAAAAUUUUUAGUAUUUUUUUCAUUCAAUAUUAAUAUAAAGUUUGCCUCAUAUUACAUUUUAGUCACUUAUAUUUGAAAUGUUACAUUUUAGUCACGUAUGUUAUGGUUUUAUUACCCCCUAAACAACAAUCCGACAUGGAAGAUAAAAUGGUUUUUAAAUGUCAACGUGGAUAUUCACUCAAGUAAAUUAAAUGAUUUUUUAAUUAAUUAAAUUUAAUUAAUUAAAUUUUCUAAAUUAAUUAAAGGAAAAUGUUAAUUAGGGUUCUCGAAAUAAUCAAAACGAAUGCAUUAGAUUAAUCAUUGAAUUGGAAGAAAAAAAACUCUUUGUCUCCUUUAUUCUUAGUUUUCGUUUCCAUUUUGAUUGAAAAAAUCAUCUAUUUUCAUAGUCAUCUUUGUUAAAUCGAAACAAUAGAAAUAAAAUUGAGUGAUCCAUCAAUCGAUUGAAGUUUUUAUUCAAAACAAAAGAACAAAGGAUCGGUUCGAUGGAGGGUCCAAACAUGAAUUACAGUAAGUAAUGAGUUUUUUUUUGUUAUUUACCUGAAUUUUGGGUUUAGAUAUUAUGAUUUUUUUUGGCAAAAAUAUGGUCCAUCUUUUCAUGUUUUUCUGUAGAUAUGAUAGACAAAAAAAGACAUGCUUUAUUUUUGUUUAUUUAUGUAUUGUAGGCAACCACAAUCGCAAGCAAUUAGUAUAGAGGUUGGUGCGUCCAUUUCUUCUUCUUCUUCUUCUUCUUCUCUAUAGUUUUGCACUUCUCUUAUCUUCUCUGACUGUAACAAAGAAAACUCAACUAUUGCUACUUUUUAAACUGGAGAAAAUUGGGUUUUAGGGUAAAAUUUUGUAUUCUAUUUUCAUAAAAAAAUUAACUUUUCUCAUUUCAGUUGGACAUCCGCGUUGGCAUUUAAAAUCUCAUUUUAACUGUCACGUCGGACUGCCUUUUGGGAUGUAACAGAUCUUAACUGUAGAGUGACCAUUUUGAAACAAAAUGAUAACGUAAGUGACUAAAAUGUAACCCGAGAUAAACAAAAUUGACUAUUUUAAUAGUUUACCCAAUUUUUUAAUGAUACGUAUCAUUUUCUAAUUGACUAUAAAAUCAACCUUAAUUAUGGAAAUAAAAUUGAUCUAGUUUCAACCAAAAAAAUAAUAUCAAUUGCAUGAAUACAUUUUCUUUUUAUAUAUUAAGUAAUUAAUGGUUCUUUGAAAUAAUUUUUUUAACACAAUAUCUAGAAUUAUCUAUACCCCUCUUCAACUCAUAAAUAGGACGAUAAUACAUUUCAACACACUCGAACCCACAUCCUCCUGCAUUGGGAACAAUAUCCAUGGUAAUCGAGUUAAGACUCAAUUUGACUAUUAAUGUAAUACCCAAUUCCUCUCUGCCCGGGCCCAUACAAAAUAGAAACACAGCAGGCCCAAUUACCAUUUACAACUUAAACCCAAAAUUCAGCCCAAAUUCAUUAACCCUAGCCCAGUAAAGAUUAAUUUGCUGAAACCCUAGUAGCCUCUCUGCUUCAGCGCCGCAAGUAGUCCCAAUGCCGCCAGCAAGCCUCCAACUGCAGCACGUCUCGGGGCCAGCUCUUCCGCGUUUGCUCACCACGAUACCUGCAAAAAUGGACUCAAAGAGUCCGGAUGUGAAAAAACAAGCAAAUAAUUUUAUUUUUGUUUCUUUUUUUCGGCCUAUAAAAGGCCAUUUUUAAUAUGUAAAUGGGGAGGACGGAUCUUUUGACAGAGAGAAUCGAGAAUAAAAGCAGCAAAAACUUGUUUUUUUAAAGGUGAUUAUUGGAGUUUUUUAGAUUUUUUUCUUUUUUUUCUGACUUGGUUUUUAUAUCGCGAAAAAAAUAAAAAUAAAAAAGAAAAGGAAGGGAUUACCUUUGCCGUCGAGUCUGCUAGGAGGGGUUUAAAAAACACUCGGCAUGUCUCCGGUCACCGAUCGCGAUGAGCUCGCGACGAAAGGGUGGUGAACGGCGGCGGCAUUAAGUGGGGUGUUUGGGUAUGAAACCCUAGUAGAGGUCUCCUCUGCUGUUUGGAAAAAAGGAAAAUGAGUUGGGUUUUUUAAAAAUUUUAGGGUUUUGUAACGAUUGCAAAACGGCAUCGUUUAGGGCUGUUUCUGUGGCCCCAAAACGGCACCGUAUGGUGUGACCUGCGCGGUGACCCGACCCGAAGGGAAGGAUCCGCCCGUUUUUGCCUUGGACGGUAUAAUUGCGCAUUUAGCCCCUCCUGUUUGCACCGCAUUUCAAUUAAACUUGUUUUGUUUUUUUAGAAAUUGGGCCGCACAUUUAAUUUUUGUUUCAAUUUGGCCCCUUUGCUGCACAGCGUUUUGGAGGGACGGGAUAAUUUCCCUUUUGGUCCUUCGUUGUUACGCGAGCGUUCAAGUGGACCCUUUUCUUUUACAAUUUUAUUCAAAAUUCGCUCAUUUUUUUUGUUUUAAGUUCAAUUUGGUCCAUCUUAGCUAUUUUUUUAUUUUUAAAUAUUUAUCAUUAUUUAUUAUUAUAUUAUUUAUUAUUAUUGUUACUAUUUUAUUUGUACAUACGUGGUUCUCUUAUUUAAUACAUAUAUAUGCAUGUUUUUUUCCCCUAGUAUACUUGCAUGUCUUUACAAUAUAUAUAUAUAAAAUGCAUUUUAUGUAGUAUAUGCAUACCUGCACACAUUUAAUACAUUUUUUUAUUUUUUUCAUUUUAUUUCUUAACUUCUAUAUACAUAUAUAUAUACAUUUUCAUAAUUUCUUAAUAUUUUUUAUUAUUUUUAUAAAUACAUUUUUUACAAAACAUAUAUAUCUUUUAUAUUUUAUUUUUAAAAAAAAACAUUUGUUUUACUUUACUUUUGUAAUUAUAUCCACAUAUUUGUAAAUUUAUCUGCAUAUUAUACUUACUUGUAUAUAUUUGUAAACAUCUAUUCAUACAUGUUUGAAAUCAGGGUAUCCGUUUCAUGUUAUACCUUAGCCCUUUUUAGCCUCCCUUUUAAAAAUAUAUUUUGCUUUUCCCAAAGUAUUUAAAUUAUCAUAUUUUAUAAAUUUCAAAAUAUUUGGCAUUCAUAGUUCUCGUGAGAGGUCAUGUCCUAACUUACUGGAUCGCGAUUAUUUUUUCGAUGAAUUUAGAAAGCCAAGUAUUUGUUUUGCAAUAAAUUCGCAAAUUUUAAAUAAAAAAACUUAUUUUCGGGAAUUCAAAAUGUUGGGUCCUAACUUACUGGUCAUGACAUUUUCUUCUCGAAAUAAGAAUUUUCAAAAACAAAAGGCAAUAUUCAGGUAUUUUGAAGAUUUAAAAACAUUGUGCCCUAACUUACUGGGUGUGGUGUUUUAUUUCUUUGAAAUAAGAAUUGUCUUAUUAUUUUAAUCCAUUCAUGAAAUAAAAAGUUUCCUUUUAAAAUCUUUUCAAAUUUUCGACACCAAGACAUUAAAUAAUCAAUUUGGUACCGAUUUUGGGCGUUACGAGGGUGCUAAUCCUUCCUCGUGCGUAACUGACUCCCGAGCCCAUUUUCUCAAAUUUCGUAGACCAAAGUCAUUUUUUAAGGUGAGCCGAUCACACCUUAACCAAGGAUCGGUGGCGACUCCAGUUUUUGUUUUUAUUUUUAAGUCGAAACCAAAAUUUUUUAUUUUCAAAAAACGGUUUCGACAAUUAACAUUUUUAUUAUAGUCAUUUUAUUUUUCAUUUUCAAUUUAAAAAAAAUUUAAAUUUGAGUAUAUCAUCGAAACUUUGAAAAUGUAAGGGUAAACUACAAUCACCGCACUCCCUUUACUUCAAGCAUAACCACCGUACAAACUAAGAAUUUAACAAAAUAAGCAAAUCUUCUCCUGAUUUCUAUCUAACCAGAGACGAAAAUCCAUGCCUCUCUUGCGUGUAUGUGUGUGUGUUUCCAGUUUGUGCUUCUUGAUGGUGAGGGUAUUACGUUUUUUUUCCUGGUUUAUGUCAUUCUUACACACAUACAAUCAAGAGUUUUCUGGAAAACUAUGAUACCUUGCAAAAGUAUGAGUUUUUGAGCUUUGCUUGCAGUUUUGACAUAGGUAUACCUGCUUCACUCCUUUCUAUUUUCUUUUUUGUGAGAUUAAAUUUCUCUUUUUUCUUUGCAUGCAUUUCCUUUUAAAAAAUAUGAAUCUAGAAAGAUUUAGAUUUUUUUUUUUACCUAAAGCUUAAAUUUUUCCUUAUAUAUUUUAUGAUGGUUUUUAUUGGGUUUUAAACCUCCAAUUUUUUUUAAAUAGCAGUAUUUUUCUUGAAUUUGUUUUUAGAAUUUUCUUUUUUCUUUGCAUGCAUUUUUUGGUGCCACCACUUCUUAACAAGUCAACGCUUUUUUUUUAAUUUUAAAAAUAUAUUAUUUUAUUGAGUGCGUUAGUUUUAACUUUUUUUUAUUAUAGUUGUUUUUUUUUUACUUUUUUAAAUUAAAAAAUGUUAUUUUAGUUUAAGAAUAAAAAAUAGUAUUUAAUUUGGUAGAGUCCUUAAGAAUGAUGUCACCAAUGUUAUAGGUGUUUUUUUUAAAUGUAUUUUUUUAAUUAAAAAUAAAAAAAUGAUAUUUUGUUCAAGACCGACAGUAUUGUGUCUUACAAUAUUAUGUCUUAUAAAUAAAACAUAAUUAAACGAUUUUGUUCAAAACCGACAACAUUGUGUUUUACAAAUUAAAAAAAUACAAUGUUUAACCGCAAGUCGACCAAGCAAGUUUCUCAGUGCUAUUAAAUUGUAGUCUGGAUGCUAUCGAUAUUGAUGAUCUCACCCGUGUGGUUCGAUUUGGGAUUCCUUAAAACCUUCAAACAUCCCAUUGACAGAAGGAAUCCCAAAUAAUCCACCCGCCGUUGGCUGUAUAACCGAUUUGAACCCUUUACUAUCUUACCAUAGCCAAUGGAACACUUACAUAACCAAUUUGAACUCGUUACCAAAUAAAUAACUGGUAUCCAAAAAUAACCAUUAAAUUUAUCGGUGUCGAAGCUCCACUAGAUUAUCAUUAAACAAAACUUACCUUCAAAGUAAAAAAAAAUCACUAAAUAAACAAAUACAUAAAUACAUAAAAAAAAUGCUCAUCAUCUCUCCCAUUCAUCCUCUAACAAAAUAUAAGUAAAAAAAAAAAUUUGUUUUCUUCAACUCAGAUUGAUCUGCCAUUGAGGGUUAUGUAUAACAAUUUAGUCAUGCCAAAGAAAAUUGUUCUAUCAAGUAAAAUAUUAUUUUUUUAUAUUUAAAUUAAUAAAAAUAAAUAAAUAAAAAAAGGUACCGCGCACAUUAGUGGCGCCAUUUUAAAUGGAGCCACCCAAUAAAAUAAUAUAUCUAACAUGUGAAAAAGUGGUAGCAUAAUUCUUAAUGGCUCCAUAAAAAAAUUAUAUUUUAAAAGCCCCCAAUUUUUUAGAAAUAGCAUCAUUUCCCUAGUAUUUAUACAGGUGAAGCCAUUCUACAUGGCUCCACCAAAAAAUGAAUUUUUUGUUGAGUUUGUUGAUGUGGCAUGUUGGCGACGCGAAACUUUUUCGCUCCAUCAAUUUUUACUGUAAAUUUCAAGUUAUUUACAUGUAUAAUAAAAAAAAUAGGUCAUUUUUGUAAUUAAUCAAAAUUUUAAUUUCAUUCGUAAAAGAAUUUCUAUAUAGAGAAUUUACUUACUCAAUCUAGCUAUUUCUAAAUAAUUGUUUAUGUCGAGUUUUGAUAUGUGGCUGAAUGGGACAAAUAAAUGACACGAUUCAAUGUUGUCACGGAAGAGAGGAAACAAGCACAAUAGACAGAAGUAUUUGAGCGUUUCUAGAUUUCACUGCUUAGAAGAGUGUUUUUUCUUUCUACAAUCUACCAAUCCAUUGGCAUAUCCCAUGGCUAGUGGGAGUUUAAAACUAGGUAUUACUUAUAACAUUAAACAAAUACAAUAUUAACUCAAAUGAUUGAAUUAACUAACCAAAACCCAGAAGAAAGAAGAAUUAUUCAAACCCAUACUAAUAAACUAUGAUUUAAAAAUAAUAUUAAAAAUUAAGAUAGUGAUGGGCCCUUUAGGUCCAAUAUCAAGCCCAAUUUAAAGUCAACCCGGAGUUGGGUUGACCCGAUACCAAUCCAAAUUCGACUCGUUUCUUUCUUUUGCUAACAAUCCACUCAGUAUCUCCUCCAUGGAAGCAUCGAAUCAGUCCAUCUGCUCCACUUUGUCUCUCAUCUCCAUCCAAUCCUGAACAUCGAAAUUCCCUAUUUACCCUCCUCGCCCUAUCAAAUUUCCCUCAUCGCCCAAAUUUUCCAUGGCUUGACCCGGAAAUCCGACUCAAAUGGACUCUCUGCAAAGUCUCCCUCCACUAUCGACUCUGUCCACCUCAGUUUCCUCCGCCCUCAACGCUAAACUCGGCACCAACCAUGAUCUAACCCAAGCACCAAGUAUCGUCGCCGAGUUUCUGACUCAGUGCGAUGAUCUGGAACGAAAUCUAGUCCACCUCAACCGCACCCUCGAGUCAAACCUCGC
rnacentral:lncRNA from 1 species